rnacentral:rRNA from 1 species
AUUGAACGCUGGCGGCAGGCCUAACACAUGCAAGUCGAGCGGAUGAAGGGAGCUUGCUCCUGGAUUCAGCGGCGGACGGGUGAGUAAUGCCUAGGAAUCUGCCUGGUAGUGGGGGAUAAUGUCCGGAAACGGGCGCUAAUACCGCAUACGUCCUGAGGGAGAAAGUGGGGGAUCUUCGGACCUCACGCUAUCAGAUGAGCGUAGGUCGGAUUAGCUAGUUGGUGGGGUAAAGGCCUACUAAGGCGACGAUCCGUAACUGGUCUGAGAGGAUGAUCAGUCACACUAGAACGGAGACACGGUCCAGACUCCUACGGGAGGCAGCAGUGGGGAAUAUGGGACAAUGGGCGAAAGCCUGAUCCAGCCAUGCCGCGUGUGUGAAGAAGGUCUUCGGAUUGUAAAGCACUUUAAGUUGGGAGGAAGGGCAGUAAGUUAAUACCUUGCUGUUUUGACGUUACCAACAGAAUAAGCACCGGCUAACUUCGUG